UUUACAAUGAAGAGUUUGAUCCUGGCUCAGGAUGAACGCUAGCUACAGGCUUAACACAUGCAAGUCGAGGGGCAGCAUUUUAGUUUGCUUGCAAACUGAAGAUGGCGACCGGCGCACGGGUGAGUAACACGUAUCCAACCUGCCGAUAACUCCGGGAUAGCCUUUCGAAAGAAAGAUUAAUACCGGAUAGUAUACGAAUAUCGCAUGAUAUUUUUAUUAAAGAAUUUCGGUUAUCGAUGGGGAUGCGUUCCAUUAGUUUGUUGGCGGGGUAACGGCCCACCAAGACUACGAUGGAUAGGGGUUCUGAGAGGAAGGUCCCCCACAUUGGAACUGAGACACGGUCCAAACUCCUACGGGAGGCAGCAGUGAGGAAUAUUGGUCAAUGGGCGCGAGCCUGAACCAGCCAAGUAGCGUGAAGGAUGAAGGCUCUAUGGGUCGUAAACUUCUUUUAUAUGGGAAUAAAGUUUUCCACGUGUGGAAUUUUGUAUGUACCAUAUGAAUAAGGAUCGGCUAACUCCGUGCCAGCAGCCGCGGUAAUACGGAGGAUCCGAGCGUUAUCCGGAUUUAUUGGGUUUAAAGGGAGCGUAGGUGGAUUGUUAAGUCAGUUGUGAAAGUUUGCGGCUCAACCGUAAAAUUGCAGUUGAAACUGGCAGUCUUGAGUACAGUAGAGGUGGGCGGAAUUCGUGGUGUAGCGGUGAAAUGCUUAGAUAUCACGAAGAACUCCGAUUGCGAAGGCAGCUCACUAGACUGUCACUGACACUGAUGCUCGAAAGUGUGGGUAUCAAACAGGAUUAGAUACCCUGGUAGUCCACACAGUAAACGAUGAAUACUCGCUGUUUGCGAUAUACAGUAAGCGGCCAAGCGAAAGCAUUAAGUAUUCCACCUGGGGAGUACGCCGGCAACGGUGAAACUCAAAGGAAUUGACGGGGGCCCGCACAAGCGGAGGAACAUGUGGUUUAAUUCGAUGAUACGCGAGGAACCUUACCCGGGCUUAAAUUGCAACAGAAUAUAUUGGAAACAGUAUAGCCGUAAGGCUGUUGUGAAGGUGCUGCAUGGUUGUCGUCAGCUCGUGCCGUGAGGUGUCGGCUUAAGUGCCAUAACGAGCGCAACCCUUAUCUUUAGUUACUAACAGGUGAUGCUGAGGACUCUAGAGAGACUGCCGUCGUAAGAUGUGAGGAAGGUGGGGAUGACGUCAAAUCAGCACGGCCCUUACGUCCGGGGCUACACACGUGUUACAAUGGGGGGUACAGAAGGCGGCUACCUGGUGACAGGAUGCUAAUCCCAAAAACCUCUCUCAGUUCGGAUCGAAGUCUGCAACCCGACUUCGUGAAGCUGGAUUCGCUAGUAAUCGCGCAUCAGCCAUGGCGCGGUGAAUACGUUCCCGGGCCUUGUACACACCGCCCGUCAAGCCAUGAAAGCCGGGGGUACCUGAAGUACGUAACCGCAAGGAGCGUCCUAGGGUAAAACUGGUAAUUGGGGCUAAGUCGUAACAAGGUAGCCGUACCGGAAGGUGCGGCUGGAACACCUCCUUUCUG
rnacentral:rRNA from 1 species